AUGCCUAGUCAAUGUUUAUGAUUUCCGUUGAACUUAAUGAUCUUUGUUGAAUGUCUCUAUCAUUCGUAUUCCAUAGUUAGGGACUUUGAUGAGGAAUAAUUUGGUUGUAAUGCGUAUUCCAUUCAAUCCAAUGAAUCUAGGGAAAUCUAAGAGUUAAUUUAAGCGGACCUAAUUAACUUGGAACAUUGUCAUUCAUCGUUUGUUGAAGUCAUAACUGGGAAUCAAAUUAUAUGCAUAUGUUCAUGUGUGGAUAAGGAACCCUCUAACUAGUUUCUCAUCAUUCUAUUUCAUCACAAUCUGUUUUGUUUUAAGUUUAUUUUCAAAGUUUAAAGUUUUAAAGUUCAAUUUUCGUCAAAACAAAACCCCUUGCUUUUAAGUCUUGCUUUUAGAGUCAAAACUUGUUUCCUUUAAAUCUUUUGAGUCUUUUUAAAGUUAUAUUUUCGUCCAAAUCACUUGUUAGGUCUAGAAUUGAAUCUUUUUUAUUGUUAUUUGCUGUUUUGAGUGUUUUAAGUUAGUUUUGAGUUUAUAGAGUCUAGUUUAGUGUUUUUGAGUCUUAUAUUUGUUGAUUAGCAUCCCUAGUUAAUCCCCGGUCUAGAACGAUCCCUACUUACAUCAUUACUACAAUUGUCAUCAAUAGGGUUUAAUUUGUGUGUCAAGUAAUUUUCACAUCAAAUUUUGGCGCCGUUGCCAGGGAUUGGCAAAAAUUGCUAAUCCCUUGUGUUUUUGCCGUGUGUUUUUAGUGUAAUUUACCUAGUUUUCUUAUUUUGUUUUGUUUUCUUGGUUUAGGUACUAAUGCAUGACGCGGAGUUCUCAAACUGUGCAUAUCUUGGACUUUAACGACGAUUUUGAACGUGAUUUGAGAAGAAAGAGGAGGCAUCCCAAACCUAGUGAACCUAGUUCAAGUUCAGAGGCCGAAUCUGAGUUUGAAGAAGUGAAAGAAGAAGUUAUGGCAGUGGACAAUCGGACCAUUAAAGAGCUUUCGGCCUCGGGGUUGACCAAUGCCGCACCAUUAUGCAUUCAAUACCCCGCGGCUGCCCAAGGCAAGACCGAUGAAUUCGAGUUGAAGUCAAGCUUGUUGCACCACAUUCCGAAAUACCAUGGUCUUUCCAUGGAAGAGCCCAACAAGCAUCUCAAGGAAUUCGAGGUUGUUUGUUCGAGCAUGACACCCAUAAAUGUCGACGGGAAUAUUCUGAUGAUGAAGGCUUUUCCAUUCUCACUUUUGGAAAAGGCGAAGGAUUGGCUUUACGAGUUAGCACCCGGAACGGUUACAUCUUGGGAUAGUAUGAAAAGAGCUUUCUUGGAGAAGUUUUUCCCAACUUAAAGAGUCAUUCUCUUGAGGAAACGGAUUAGUGGCAUCCAACAAGAUCAAGGUGAAUCGUUUCCUUCUUAUUAUGAACGUUUUAAAUCACUUGUUGCUUCUUGUCCACAGCAUCAAAUGAAGGAGGAGCUGCUCAUUCAAUACUUCUACGAAGGACUCCUUCCCAUGGAACGCCAAAUGCUUGAUGCCUCGGCAGGAGGUGCGUUGGUGGAUAAAACUCCGGGGGCUGCAAAAGUUCUAAUUGCCAACCGAGCACAUAAUGCACAACAAUACGAAGGUGUUGGACAAAGAGACCCCCCACGGCCACAAGUGAAUGAGGUAAGUUCUAUGCCCGAAAUUCAAUCCUAAUUAGCUAACCUUACUUCUAUUGUUUCUCAGUUGGCCGAGGGAAUGAAGAUUCAUGGACCAAGUGUGUGUGGCGUGUGCUCUAUGCAAGGACAUGCCAAUGAUCAAUGCCCUCAAUUGAUUGAGAAUGGGGGUUGGGAAUCUGCCAAUGCCGUGGGUUUUGGGAACCAAAAUCAACCACGCCAUGAUCCAUACUCUAAUACCUACAAUCCGGGGUGGAGGGACCAUCCAAAUUUCAAAUGGCGGGAUCCUCAACAAACCCAACAACAAGGAGGAUUUAGGCAGCAACAACCUGGAGGAUUUGCAGCAACCACUUGGCUUUUAUACAAAGCCAUUCGUCCCCAAUCAAAACCAAGUGCAAUCUGCCCCAACAACCUCAGGUAUGUCUUUGGAUAAUGAUCAAGUUGUUAAGUUACUUACUACUUUGACGCAGGAAGUACAAACUCAAAAUAAGGAGAGACAAAUCCAAGACAAACGGGUGGACAAUUUGGAGAAGCAAUGGGUGGGUCAAAAAUUGCCGAAUUUAUGGGGCAAAUUAGAGAACAAGGCAGAUUGCCUAGUUCAACCGUUAUAUGAACCCGAAGAGGAGGAUUUGAAACCGCUAAGGCCAUCAUGUAAAAAAAGUGGGUAAACAGGUUGGAACGGACUCAAAUACAUCCAAAUCAAGUCAAGACGAGAAUGACAAGUUGCUGUAAGAAGAAGCACAUGGAGCAAAGCCCAAGGCCAAGGAUGACCAAACCUUGCCGAAUUCAUCUAGUCCUCCUAAACCGUCCCAAACCACCAAGGUAAGUCCCAAUUCAACUUUUUCUAGUUCUAUUCCACUAAAUGUGCCCUUUCCUGGCAGGUUUAAGCAAUCAAAGAAGGAAGAAGCCGAGAAGGACAUUCUAGAGACCUUUCGGAAAGUUCAAGUCAAUAUCCCGCUCCUUGAUGCGAUUAAGCAAGUCCCGAGGUAUGCUAAGUUUUUAAAAGAACUUUGUACAACAAGGAGAAGGAUUUCGAACAAAGAGGUGGUUCAAGAUUUUCUCGAUUGUUUGGAGAGGGAUACACUUGAAACAACAAUUGCACAAGGAAUUGGGCAAAAAUCUGGUUUUGCCGUGCCUAGAAGUGUGGAGGAGGCCAAGAUAGUGGCUGCCCUUGAGUCACUACCUCAAUAUCAUGCAUUGAAGUAUUUGUUCACCAAGAAGGAAGCCAAACCACGACUCAUUCGUUGGAUGCUUCUUCUCCAAGAGUUCGAUAUCGAAAUCCGGGAUAAAAAGGGAAGUGAAAACGUGGUGGCUGACCACUUGAGCCGUAUGGUGCAUGAAGAGGAUGCCGUGCCUAUCAUAGAGACAUUCCCAGAUGAGCAACUGAUGUCCGUCAAGGUAAGUGAACCUUGGUAUGCUGAUUUGGUGAAUUAUUUGGUGUCUAAACAUGUUCCUAGUGAAUUACUUAAACACCAAUGUGAUAAAUUGAAGAAAGAGGCACGGUUUUAUGUGUGGGAUAACCCGUAUUUAUGGAAAUAUUGCCCUGACCAAGUUAUACGUAGGUGUGUGCACGAUUCUAAGUUUAAUGCUAUUCUAACCUUUUGUCACACUUAUGCUUGUGGGGGACACUUUGGCACUCAAAGAACAGCACUUAAGGUGUUCGAAUGUGGUUUCUAUUGGCCUACCAUCUUUAGGGAUGCUAGAACAUUUUGCAUGUUUUGUGAUAGAUGCCAAAGAACGGGCAAUAUUGGUCCUAAACAACAAAUGCCGCAAACCCCCAUUUUUAGUGUUGAAAUCUUUGAUGUUUGGGGUAUUGAUUUUAUGGGUCCCUUUCCUUCGUCACAAGGGUUUCUUUAUAUAUUGCUUGUUGUGGACUAUGUGUCGAAAUGGGUGGAAGCAAAAGCCACCCGAACUAAUAAUUCUCGAGUGGUUGCAGAUUUUGUGAAAACUAACAUUUUUGCAAGGUUUGGAAUGCCACGAGUGCUAAUCAGUGAUGGAGGUUCCCAUUUUUGUAAUCGAACCAUCGAGACGUUGCUCAAGAAAUACAAUGUCACGCAUAAGGUGGCCACACCUUAUCAUCCUCAAACGAGCGGGCAAACCAGGUUUCAAAUAGGGAAAUCAAGUAGAUUCUUGAGAAGACUGUGGGGCCUACAAGGAAGGAUUGGAAUUUGCGCUUAAACGAUGCAUUGUGGGCGUAUCGCACUGCCUACAAAACCCCUAUUGGGAUGUCACCUUUUCGACUCAUCUAUGGGAAGCCAUGCCAUCUUCCUGUCGAGUUAGAGCAUCGUGCACAUUGGGCCGUCAAAACGUUCAAUUUGGACCUUAAUGCCGCAGGUUUACAUAGAAAGCUUCAAAUGUGUGAACUUGAUGAAAUCCGAAAUGAAGCAUAUGAGAAUGCCCGGAUUUACAAGGAGAAAACGAAGGCAUUCCAUGACAAGAUGAUUCGUGCCAAGACGUUCUCUAUUGGGCAGAAAGUGUUAUUGUUCAAUUCUCGCCUUCGGUUGUUUCCGGGUAAGUUGCGUUCCAAAUGGGUUGGUCCUUUUAUUGUCACUAAUGUUUUCCCUCAUGGUGCAGUGCAAAUCAAAAGUUCAAGGACGCAGCAAGAAUUCAAAGUGAAUGGGCAUCGAUUGAAGCCCUAUUACGAGAUGUUUGAGGAGCAUGUCGUGGAGGAGGUACCCCUCCAUGCCGUGGAACCUAGUCAAGCUUAAACGGAGGUACCGUCCGGCUGAAAGACGUUAAAGCAAGCGUUUCUUGGGAGGCAACCCAUGUGUUGAAACACGAGAAGAAGGAACUUUCACUCCAAACCCAGAUUUGCGUCCCUAACCUAUCUCUUUAUUGCUAUUACUUUGCCAUUUGUGUUAUGUUUGCUAUUUGUGUUAGUUGAUUGUUUUUGUGUUAAUCUAUGUUUAAAACAUUGAGGACAAUGUUUGGUUUAAGUGUGGGGGGGUAAACAAGCUAUUUUUGCAUGAAAUUCGUGGGAUUUUAUCACCUAUCACUUCACAUGUUGUUUCUCACUGUUUUAAAGUGUUUUUAGUGUUUUGAUGUGUUUUAGUGUUAUAUAACAGAAAACCCUAGAAAAAUUCGAAAAAGUUUGAAAAAUACCAAAAAGAGUCGUUUUUGAGUCAUUUUUGUGUUUUAGGGUACCUUCCAACACAAUGAUGAGGAUUUGGUUUUUAAUUGCAUAACUGUUGAAGUAAGUUACAAUCAUGGAUGAAAGUUUGAUAUGCUCUUUGGUUUAUGCUUAGUUGUAAUUCAUGAAUUCACAUGUAAUCAAAAGAAAAAUUAGUUUUUGUAACAUGCUUGAAGGAAGAAACUCAAACUAACGCUACAACCCUGAGAGACUUGAGCUUUUAACGUUCUUUGGAGAGUUAAUAAUCUGUGCAUUUGUUGUCUUCUAAAGUCGUUGCAUGAUCUCAUUAUUCUUUGCUUGGUUACUACUUAGAAGGCGUUUCAUCAUUUAGUUCCAAAUACUAGAACUCAUACCCGUUUCAUUCAAAGCAUAAAAUUGAUUCGCAUAACACAUAACAAGAUGAAGUUGUUAGUAAACCAAGAACCAAAUAGCCGCACCCCAUGUUCAUUUGUUUUGUAGGUUUAAGCCCCGUUGAGCCUUGUUUAGCCUAUGUUCUUUGUUAACCCACGUUAUCCUUACCUAGCCUAGAAUAGGACCAUCCAUGCCUUUGUUCUUAAAGCAUAGUGAACAUGACUUAGAAUGAAUUCCUUUUGAUUAUUCUUGUGCAGAAAAACAAGUGUGGGGGAAGGAAUUUAUGUGUGGGAAUUUGUGCCAAAAGCAAGAAUUGGGUACGAGAAAAAAAAAAAAAAAAAUUAUGGCAAAAGAGGUCAAAAUAAGAAAGAACUCACAAGUGUUGGUUGUUGAAGAAAGGGUCCAAAAAGUUAAAUUAGACCCUAAAUAUUGUGUAUUUCACCCCCUUGUGUGUCUAAGUGAUUUUCUGCACGCAAAAGUGAAUUCUAAGUGUCAAAUUCAUUACUUGUUUGCUAUCGCUUUAAGAACUUUUGUUUAUCCUUAACCUUUCUUUGUUAGCCAAUACCCCUUAGCCCCGUUACAAUCCUUAACUUCUAUCUUGAGUGUUAUUAUGUAUUUCAAUAUGUGGAGUUUGGGAUUGGUUUGAGCAUAUGGUGUCCCUGGUUCUCGCAUCUAAGUAGUAGCGUUCCAUUCAUGAGAUCAUAUCUAUAAAUGCUUAAUCAUUCCAGAAAAGUGCUUCUUUUAUAACAUGUGUGAGUGUUCGUUUCCAUGUUUACAUCAAUCUUCUCACAUAUACUUAGUAUAGGGAGUGUAGUUAGAAAAUCUGUGUGAAAAUAAGAGUGUAUCCAGUAAGGAAUUGAGUGGAUUCUCUAAGGCAUGUUACUACGUCCAUAAUGUUGUUUUAAACGAUUAAAUGUGAGCUAGUGAAUGGUAACUAUGAUUAAGUAUAUGCUCAAAGAGUAGGGAUGACUAAAAUCUGUGGGAAUAAUGAUCUUUGGCAUGUUAUGUAUCGUUGGAAAUCCCUGUAGCAAAUGUUGGAAGGUUAGGUUAUGUUUUGUUUGUUUUAUUUUGCUCGAGGACUAGCAAAAGCUAAGUGUGGGGGAAAUUGAUAGGAGCAUAUUUAUACGACUUAGUUAGCUUGUUUUCUUGCUUUUAAUUAGCUAAACUAUGAUAAUUAUAGUGUUUAAAGUUAUUUUCGUGCAAUUUCAGGUUUUAGUGUCAAAGUAUGCAAAAAGAAGCAAUUUGGAACAUUCUAGAGUAUUUUUGGGCCAAGAUUGGAUUGUGCAAGCAUGGAGGCAUAAGGAUGGACAAAUUUGAAGACAAAAGAGGCUAUGAACAUGCUAAAAAUCUGGUGAAACAAAUACAAGUUGCAAGAAGGGAUAAAUUUCUAGAAGGAUUGACCAAAACUUCACUCAAAACCAAGAAAUUCUUCAAUGCCGUGGGCAUUGAUUCACUUUCACCAGAAAUUUGAGUGAUGAUGCAAUGCUUAAAUCACCAUGACAUGUGAGUGGAUGAUGCAAUGCUUAACUCACCAUGACAUGUGAAUGGAUGACUCAAUACCUAACCCACCAACAAUUCCCACUCUUUGUCGUGCUCACCUACUCAAUUCCACCAGAAUUUUGUGUUAAACAAGUCCAUCCUUUUCCUAUAAAUACCAUGGCAGCAACCUCAUUCAAAUCAUCCAGAAAUUAACCAUUCUCCAAGCCUUCCCUUGCCUCUCCCUACAUAUCUAAACCUUCCCCAUCCAUUCCUCCAUAUAACCAACCAUUCAACCACCAUAACCACCUUGUGCCGCCACCAUUGAAGGAGAGGAGGAGUAGUGCCGUGCUUAUGCAAUCUGCAACUAUUAGAGUGUUUGGAAUUCUUUCUUCUUUUAAUUCUAUGUUCAUGUUUAAUUUAACUUGCUGUUCAAUUAUGUUAAACAUGUGGAACUAAUUUCUUUUUAGUUAGAGGCAAAUUUGAAGCCAUGGACAUAUGUUGGUUAUGAUUUGUUUUACUCCAGUUAUGAAUUCAUGAACUUUAGAUGUGGUUUACUUUUCUGUUUUGAUUAAGAACUUGUUUAUGUAUGUGGGUUGAGGGUCGACACUUAAUUUGCAUGCCUAAACUUGAUGCUAGGAUAUAAGGGAAUUUCACCUAAUCGUUAUGAACUUAUAUUCAUGAGUAGUAAAGAUCGCUAGUCACGAUUGUGUUUAAGUAAACCCUAGGCUGGAUUAACAUGCGUAUUCCAUAGUUAUGAAUGCCUAGUCAAUGUUUAUGAUUUCCGUUGAACUUAAUGAUCUUUGUUGAAUGUCUCUAUCAUGCGUAUUCCAUAGUUAGGGACUUUGAUGAGGAAUAAUUUGGUUGUAAUGCGUAUUCCAUUCAAUCCAAUGAAUCUAGGGAAAUCUAAGAGUUAAUUUAAGCGGACCUAAUUAACUUGGAACAUUGUCAUUCAUCGUUUGUUGAAGUCAUAAUUGGGAAUCAAAUUAUAUGCAUAUGUUCAUGUGUGGAUAAGGAACCCUCUAACUAGUUUCUCAUCAUUCUAUUUCAUCACAAUCUGUUUUGUUUUAAGUUUAUUUUCAAAGUUUAAAGUUUUAAAGUUCAAUUUUCGUCAAAACAAAACCCCUUGCUUUUAAGUCUUGCUUUUAGAGUCAAAACUUGUUUCCUUUAAAUCUUUUGAGUCUUUUAAAGUUAUAUUUUCGUCCAAAUCACUUGUUAGGUCUAGAAUUGAAUCUUUUUUAUUGUUAUUUGCUG
rnacentral:lncRNA from 1 species